rnacentral:rRNA from 1 species
CUACGUGCCAGCAGCCGCGGUAAUACGGAGGGUGCGAGCGUUAAUCGGAAUAACUGGGCGUAAAGGGCACGCAGGCGGACUUUUAAGUGAGGUGUGAAAGCCCCGGGCUUAACCUGGGAAUUGCAUUUCAGACUGGGAGUCUAGAGUACUUUAGGGAGGGGUAGAAUUCCACGUGUAGCGGUGAAAUGCGUAGAGAUGUGGAGGAAUACCGAAGGCGAAGGCAGCCCCUUGGGAAUGUACUGACGCUCAUGUGCGAAAGCGUGGGGAGCAAACAGGAUUAGAUACCCUGGUAGUCCACGCUGUAAACGAUGUCGAUUUGGGGGUUGAACUUUAAGUUUGGCGCCCGUAGCUAACGUGAUAAAUCGACCGCCUGGGGAGUACGGCCGCAAGGUUAAAACUCAAAUGAAUUGACGGGGGCCCGCACAAGCGGUGGAGCAUGUGGUUUAAUUCGAUGCAACGCGAAGAACCUUACCUACUCUUGACAUCCAGAGAACAUUC